AUGCUAGCUCUAGUUUUUGCAAGCAUAAAUAAACACCAACAGUAUGAAAACAGGCAUAGGAAGAGAAACCACAGACAGUGGAGAUACAUCUGCGGGAGGGAAGAGGAAACCUGGAUACAAAAGGGCUCCCUGAAGACGGGAGCUUCAGUCACAUCUGGAGUAUUUCUUUACAAGGAUCAAGAGAAAUCAGAAACAGAAAAAUUCAGAUCCAUCUUUCACAGGAUGAUAAGAAGAAAAAAAAGAACAAAAAUAUACCAAGAAAAAAAGCUACCAGCAAGACGAGAGAAACCCAGUUUCCAGCAGGAAAAGUUUUUUAAAAACGCCCAGUCCUGGGAGUAUGGGGACCAGGAAAAGCAGAGGUCCUGGGCACACAGGAUCUGAGCCGUCCGUGAGUCACACACGGUGCCACUCAGUGUGCGCCCGUCAGCUCUGGGGACCCGCGGGGCCCGCGCGUUCAGUCGACUGGUUUCCUACCUACAGCAAGUCUCUGCAAGGCCCUGGCAAGAUCCGACCACCACCCAGCCUGUCUGGGUUUGCCUGGGACAUGCCUGACUCCAGCACUGAAAGUCUCACAUCCCGGAAAAACUGGGACAGUUUGGUCACCCUACGCUUUCCAGGAGAGGAAAUCUGAUCAGAGAGGUGAAGUGGUCAGACCCAGGCCCAACUGCCAAGACAGCGUUCAAAGAAUCCACAGCAGCACAGAAAGAUCAAGGGCAGCCAGAUCAGAGCAACUCUGAGGCUCCACAACACGCUCUUUUGAUCGAGAGUGGUUAAGGCUCAACGCUGGCUCAGGGCUGGUGAGGCGGGCAGACCCGGCUGCCACCCGAGUCGGCGUCUAGAGGACGGUCUCCUUGGGAAGCAAUUUGGCAACUUGCAGUUUGUGCCGUGAAACUGUUCCUAGCCUUUGACUGAAUGAUACUAUGCUGGGAAAUCCAUUCUAAGGAAAUUAUCCCUCUUUUUAUUAUUAUUAAAAAGCUACUGGAAAGAAAAUGUUCUCUGCAAUAUUAUCUAGAAGAGAAAAUAAACCUGAACAGUUCAUAGAGGGUAAUGGCUUC
rnacentral:lncRNA from 2 species